rnacentral:tRNA from 1 species
GAGGGUACAGCUCAGUGGUAGAGCUCAUGCUUAGCAUGCACGAAGUUCUGGGUUCAAACUCCAAGUACCUCCA